rnacentral:rRNA from 1 species
AUUGAACGCUGGCGGCAGGCUUAACACAUGCAGUCAACGAGCAGCGGCGGAUGGGUGAGUAACGCGUUGGUAACCUGCCCUUUAGUCUGGGACACCAUUCGGAAACCGAUGCUAAUACCGGAUACUAAAGGAUGGACCUGCGAUGCAUUAGCUAGGUGGUUAGGUUACGGCUUACCAGGGCAAUGGUGCAUAGCUGAGAUGGAAGACUGAACGGCCACAAUAGGACUGAAACACGGCCCAAACUCCUACGGGAGGCAGCAGUAGGGAAUCUUCCACAAUGGACGAAAGUCUGAUGGAGCAAGGACGCGUGAAUGAAGAAGGGUUUCGGAUCGUAAAGCUCUGUUGUUGGUGGAGCGGUAAUCAACCAGAAAGACACGGCUAACUACGUGCCAGCAGCCGCGGUAAUAC